rnacentral:rRNA from 1 species
CAUGACCUCAGAUCAGACGG